CCCAAGUGUGUAAUGAAUAUAUGAUGUUGCCCAUAGGCUGCUAGAACAACCCAUAAUAUUGUCAAAGAAGGCAGUAGGUGGCAGUUAGACUGGGGAAAAGGAUCACUCAGUAUGAACUCAGCGCUGACCUGAUUAGCGGGUGACAAAUGGGGCAGUGCAGCCAAUGAAGUCCUGAUACUAGUGACAACAAAAGAUUACCAGGGGGCCCAUGGAUCUAGUAAAGCUGAAGCUAAAUGUAGGACCCUUUAAGGGAACAGAGAUGGUCAGUAACGCCUUGAAAAACUAACUCCUAGGGUGAGAGAUACCAAGAAAAAGCAGCAACGUACAAUGAGGCAGUAAGUGUGAGACCAAAUUGGAAUCUUGAAGCAAGGCAAGUCCUGACCCAGUAGCGCAUGGCACACGUGUGGAGGUGGGGGAAGUUAGUGCCGCAGUAGCAGCGAGAGCCAUUACGGGAGCUGCAGCAGCAGCAAGAACUUCUGGAACAGGUUCACAAAUGCUGAUGAUGUCUGAGACAUACUGCUUCCAACCUGGCCAGGUCAUCAUGAAAGCCAAGAGGCAGAAAAGACAGGUUUGGGAUACGGGAUAUAAGGCAGAAAACGGGACAAGGUGGUGGACUGCUUUUAGCCACCCAAGGUUAAAAUAUCUCAGUGAAGAGGGAUUGGAAAUGAAAGCAAACACAUCGGUAGUAUAUGUACCUAGUAAGGUUUCUAUGUGAUAAAUAAUAAAUCAACGUGUGUCUUAUUAAUACUGUUAUUUUAUUUCUCUCUAAUAGAUUUCUUCCUUUUCCAAAUGCCAUUAGAGAAGCCAUUCAAACUGUGUGAAUGUAAUGACACUUAACCUAAAUUGACCUGGGAUCACCAUAUAGUCAUCACAUUGACAGGGACUCUCUUGAUGGAGUAUUCCAAACACAAAUGGUACAGACACCAGCUACCCAAAGGCAGUAUGACCAGAAACUGUCCCUGAUUUGGAUGUUGCUAGUUUUUGGAUUUAAUGUCUCCAUCAAUCUUGCAUAGCCUCCUGGAAAGCAGAUUAUUGAAAGGAGAUACAUGGACUUUAGAAGAGAAGGAGAACCAAAUACAUUUUGUAAAGCAAAAACAUUUUAGCUUGCAUCAUUCCGCAAACUCCAAGUUCUGUCAAGUGAGAAGUUCAUGAAAAGCUGUCCACAAGAGAUGGCUCUUGAGCCAGGCCAGAGCAGCAUUUGUGACUGUGACACAAAUGACCUCAGUCACACACAGCCCUAUAUGCUUCUGGGGUUUGAUUCCAGCACACAUCUUCAGGAUUCUGAGAGACACCCUCUGCUUCAUCCAACACAGAAAAAAGGCACAUGUUAAAACACCAAAGAAAUCAUGGAAAGUGGUCCAGGCUCUUCUGAGAGUCCUCAACAUUGAGUACAGGCCUCGAUGGGGUUAAAAGUAGACGCUGUAGGCCUGUCUGGGACAAAAGCCAUAGAAACAGAGAAAGGUGAAAUCAAAGUCAUUUCUCCAGUCCAGUUGAUAGCAACUUUCUGGAGAUAAAGUCCUACAUCAGAGAAGAUUUUCUAAAGAAGGAAAUUUCAGUCACUAUGGUGAACCAAUGGGAGAAACAUUUUGGGAUGACAAUGGAAAUUUACCACCCUUCAAAUGAUAAAGAAGAACUGAAAACAAAUAUUAAAUUGAACACACUGGUGAUAUUUCAGUAGACAUUAUAAAACCACCAGUAAUGCUGAUUUAUCAUGAUUGCAU